AUUGAACGCUGGCGGCAUGCCUAACACAUGCAAGUCGAACGGCAGCACAAUGUGUAGCAAUACACAUGGGUGGCGAGUGGCGGACGGGUGCGUAAUGUGUAGGGAUCUGCCCUGAAGUGGGGGACAACCCGGGGAAACUCGGGCUAAUACCGCAUAAUACUCUACGGAGGAAAUCUGGCUACGUAAGUAGCUAGUGCUUUAGGAUGGACCUACAUCCGAUUAGCUAGUUGGUGAGGUAUAGCUUACCAAGGCGAUGAUCGGUAGCUGGUCUGAGAGGAUGGCCAGCCACACUGGGACGGAGACACGGCCCAGACUCCUAUGGGAGGCAGCAGUGGGGAAUAUUGGACAAUGGGGGAAACCCUGAUCCAGCAAUGCCGCGUGGGUGAAGAAGGCCUUCGGGUUGUAAAGCCCUUUAGGCGGGGAAGAAGGUUCUAGGGUGAUAAGCCUUAGAGCUUGACGGUACCCGCAGAAUAAGCACCGGCUAACUCUGUGCCAGCCGCCGCCGUAA
rnacentral:rRNA from 1 species